rnacentral:sRNA from 2 species
AUAUUAAUUGUGCCGAGACUUUCAGACAGAAAGUGUGGAGGAUGUAAUUAAGUUUGUACAAGAAUGUGUAAGUUCUUUACAACUAGGGGUGAAUCGCAUUUAACAUGUGUAGGGUUGACUCCCAAUCCGAAUCCGACAGCUAACUUCGCAGGCGUUAUUAUAAGGAGGA